rnacentral:piRNA from 2 species
UAGGAUUCGGCGCUCUCACCGCC